GAGUUUAAAUCCAGCCAUCCUCCCCCGCGUUGUGAUCCUCAAGCUUGGCGGGUUGUUGUUCUUCCCUCUAGAACCGGGGUUUAUUACGAUCACCUUAUACUGAGUGUGGUGGCCCAGUACUAGGCCUGAGAAGCUCAGCUCGACCAAUGGCAUUUGGGUCAAGCUUCAAACCUCUUUGUCUCCUUCUCCCUCAAAGUGGAGGUGAUAGUUCAACCUAAGGGUGUAGCAAGCUGACUGACAUCAAGUACUUCCGUGUUUGCAGUGUAGGGAAAAAAGAUUCCCGGGACUUGGCCCAGUGCUUGGCUGUGGAUCUCUGCAUCUGUUCCAUCAGUAACUGGACGAAGGCUCUCCGAUAACAAUUGGGAAACUUCCCUCCAUGUACAAGGAGAGAGUCUAGAGAUGGCAAUCACCUUCAAAGCCUAUCCCCAGUGACCCACAGCACCAGCAGCUGAGGACCAAGUGUUCAAAUCCACAGUCGUGUAGAGGGCAUUUUGUAUUCAACCACAGCAGCAGAGCUAUUGAGAGGAGAUGGAACCUUCAAGGGGCGGCCUGGGAAGAGGUAUUUAGAUCGCCGGGGCUGGUUCUUGAGGGAGGUUGUGGAGCCCCAACUAUGUCACUUGGUUCCCCAGCUGUGAAGUGAGGUUUUAUUUUGUUACAUGUUCUUCCAUGGUAUGCCAUCCCAGGUCCAAAGUAACAGAGAACCCACCAGGGACCAAACUCUCCAAAACUGUGUGCCAAAAACAAACAAAAAAACAAAAACUACAACAACAAAACAAAAAGCUCUUCUCUCUUUUGAGUUCACUUUCGUGAGUGCUUGUUACAGUGACAGAAAGCUGAGCAGCCAUGGUCAGACAGAACAAAACACCAACCUCAUUAAAUAACAGCAGGCAUUUCGUCUGCAUACCAACACAAAUCUGGUGACAUGGAUUGGGACUAAACCCAGUGUCACUUUCCAGCUCUGGGUCUCAGAUCCAUGACUAGUUCUGAGGCUCCGUUUCUGCCUUUUAAAAAUCUAGAUGAUAACCACUUAUCAAUUUGCCUUAAAGAGUAAACCUGAUAAGCCAUUCCAAGCAUAGGGUCCAAUGACUGACAUAGGGCAACUGUUGGACACCACCUGUUUUAUGACACAAAAAUGAUUUUUUUUCCCUAAGUGAAUGUCAAUGCCUGAUUUUUAAAAUUUCAUUUCCUAAACUUUAAUAAGCAUUAAUCAAUAAAUCUACAAAUAAGUAAGUAAAUAAAAUGGACAUAUCCUUAAAGUAAGAAAAAAAUGGAAGUUUUUCCCCAGAGUUAAACAGUUCUCUGGCAUUUUAGCUCCGAGAGCUUCCCAGACCUUGUCUAUGGCUGUGAAAACGACAGUUUUUCCCCAGAGUUAAACAGUUCACUGGCGUUUUAGCUCCGAGGGCUUCCCAGACCUUGUCUAUGGCUGUGGAAAGGAUCAACAAUAGGAAAAGUAUCAUGAAGCCACGUGCUGUGGAUGAAGGUUGGGCUCCGGUGUUCAAACAGAGUUAUCUGGUGGGUCCAAGGAAGUGUUUCAGAGCCCAGAGCACACUGGCUUGCUCCUCCCCAACAUUUUAGGGCCUAGCCCUGAAGCCACCAACGCCAAGAGACUCUCGCGUAUCUCACACAGGCUAGACCCGUGCUGGCUCAAGUCUCAAAGAAACAUGUGAUCCUAGGCUUCGGUGAACCAGGGAAAAGUUCAUAAGAAGCAAAAAAUACAAAGAAGAUUUGAUAACUACAUCCUGCUUCCAUGUCUUCCAAGCUAUGGAAGUGCCCACCCUGGACUGUCAGCAACUAGAAUGGGAUAUUCGCUUGUCUAAAGGGAUUGAGCAUGAUGUUAGUGGUUCCUACAGGGCAAAAAUGUGGGGCCUGGGAUGUUCAAAAGAAACUAUCAAUCUAGAAUUUGAUGUAAAAUAUGAAUUCUUAAAUGUUCACAGAAAUGCAUCACAUUUCUGGGCAAGUGGUCCAACAAGCUGCCUGUUAGCAGCCUGUGUUGUAGGAAAGAGAGUUGAACAGUCCAGUAGUACUGUCUGGGCUUGACUCCUGGCUCUGGGUACUGUGUCAUGAGCAGUGCUAUCAAACGUCACUUAACCUGUGCUUCGUCCCCUCCCUUCUCUAACAUCAGGACAGAGCUUCAAGGAUUGCUAGAAAGACGAAGAUGAUGCAGCUGGAAACCCAUCUUCAGCUUCCAUCUUUCUCUAACUUCUGUCCUCUCCCUUCUCCCUCCUUACUCAAUAAACUGAAACUAACCUUCCUUCCUUCCUUGUUUAAAGCAAACUAAGGGACACUUUUGUAAAAAAAUCACUUGUCACACGUUUUUCGAGGGAAAUUAUCCAUGAUCAGCCUACAAGGCACAGUGCUGGGCCAGCUGUUCAUGUGACCCGACUUACAGCUGUGAUAUUAAGCAAACCUGGAGAGUUUCUUUCUGUCUUUUUACUGCUGUGUUCUUCAAAAGAUAAGAGCACAGGGGCCAUAUUAAAGCAACAACAUUUCCAAAAUUAAAUUCUGGCAAUAUAUUCACCUGUGGUCCUGACUAGGAAAUGAAGGGAAGACCCUGAACCAGCGGAGAAGCCCUCCAGUGCACACUCUCAGGUUUUCAAAAAGGAAGGAGGAGAACAUAACUAAAGGAGAAGGGGAGGGGUGUCCUAGGCCCGUAACAUUAUAAGGCUGGGGCUCAAAACAAGCCUGAGACUUGCAGAAACUGCUCAGAAACAGCACAGGCUGCCUUGUGCAAGUGUAUUGGGAACAGGAAGAAGAGGGGAGAGCCAGGACCAGUACUUGGAGCAGAUGGUGUAAUGCCAGCAGAUGACAGUCGGACAGCAGAGUUACCCAAGUCCUACUCAGCUUCCAUCAUCUCUGUCUCCAAGAAGAAUUCUCAAAGGGGAACGGGUAGUAUAAACAUGGUGGAGAGGAAAUUGCAGCCCUGGGUGUGAAGCUUCACGGAAAUGAGUAUCCACCUUGGGUCUAGGAUAGGUUCCUGGGGAUGGAAAGAACUUGGAGAUUUAAUCAGAGAGCCCUUGUCAGGAAUUUUGCACAAGUCUUGGUAUUCAUGCCAAAGGAUUAGUGAUGGGCAAAUGUCCGAGUUGUCAAAAGUGAGGAAUGUGUAGGUUAGGGAAACGCUGCACUGCAGAGCUUAGCUUUGAUCCACAGCAAACUCUAACCUGCAUUAUUAAAGAGAUUGUAAUCACUUAGAAAAGGAAGUGGUGAUCUCAAGCAGCCAGGGCAAGCUCUGUAGACAAACCACACCAUGCUAUCAUCAUCUUGUAUUUUUCUCUUUUGAAAGGUAUCCAAAACUCACAAGACUGUUUUUUAGCAAGUCUCUCAGCAAGGCUGUGGACAAACCCUUUUACAAGCUGGGUAGCUAGUGACUGAGGGACCGACUGGUUGAAGUCCUCGUUGAACAAACCACCAUACCCAGGAAGCCCUCAGACAGUGUCAUACUAACUCAGAGGGGGACUGAACAGGAUGCCACCAGCCCUUGUUUGGGCCCAGUGACACAAACAGUAUGCCGGCUUGCACAUGUGGACAGACACAAAGCGAGAAGAGUAACUAACAUGCUGCUGUGUGGUAGAGGCGGGAUGGGCGUCUACCAACAAGAAGCCAAAGGAAACACAGCAGGAUGCAAUGGGAGGGAAACAAAGGUUCUUUAUGUCAGUUAAAAAAGAAAAAAAUGGAAAAAGCUCAGUUCUUUGAAGCACUGAAGCAAGACAACAUGAAAAAGUCUUAAGAAUUUUAGUUAAGAAAAAGCCGGCGUGACCAAAGAAACAGUUCUUGGUACAGACAAAGACAACUGGACAAACAAACAAACAAAAAUGAGCAGACCUCCAUGACUGAGAGGAAUUUGUUGAGAGCAGGGCGGUGAGACUGGAGCUAUUGUCUGUGUCUGAGCAUCCUGGCUUACUAUGGGCACCACGUUUCCCCUGCACUGCCACCUUUGUUAUUCUUUUAGUCCUGAAAGAAUACAGUCAUCAUCACAAAGGGCAGCAUGGCAGAAAGAAGAAAAAAGUCACUUUACGUUCACUUCGUAGACAACUGUUGCCAUCUUGGUAUAGAUCCCUGAAGUCUU